rnacentral:rRNA from 1 species
CCUACGGGAGGCAGCAGUGAGGAAUAUUGGUCAAUGGACGAGAGUCUGAACCAGCCAAGUAGCGUGAAGGAUGACUGCCCUAUGGGUUGUAAACUUCUUUUAUAUGGGAAUAAAAUGUUCCACGUGUGGGAUUUUGUAUGUACCAUAUGAAUAAGGACCGGCUAACUCCGUGCCAGCAGCCGCGGUAAUACGGAGGGUCCGAGCGUUAUCCGGAUUUAUUGGGUUUAAAGGGAGCGUAGGUGGAUUGUUAAGUCAGUGGUGAAAGUUUGCGGCUCAACCGGAAAAUUGCAGUUGAAACUGGCAGUCUUGAGUACAGUAGAGGUAGGCGGAAUUCGUGGUGUAGCGGUGAAAUGCUUAGAUAUCACGAAGAACUCCGAUUGCGAAGGCAGUUCACUGGACUGCAACUGACACUGAGGCUCGAAAGUGUGGGUAUCAAACAGGAUUAGAUACCCGUGUAGUC